GACGAACGCUGGCGACGUGCUUAACACAUGCAAGUCGAGCGGUAAGGCCCUUUCGGGGUACACGAGCGGCGAACGGGUGAGUAACACGUGGGUGACCUGCCCUCAGCUCUGGGAUAAGCCUGGGAAACCGGGUCUAAUACCGGAUAUGACUCCAUGACGCAUGUUGUGGGGUGGAAAGCCUUGUGCGGCUGAGGAUGGGCCCGCGGCCUAUCAGCUUGUUGGUGGGGUGAUGGCCUACCAAGGCGA
rnacentral:rRNA from 1 species